UCGAGAAUCUUCGGCAAUGGGCGCAAGCCUGACCGAGCGACGCCGCGUGGAGGAUGAAGGCCUUCGGGUUGUAAACUCCUGUCGAGGGGGAAAAAGGGUCGAAAGGCCUUGAUUGAUCCCUGGAGGAAGCACGGGCUAAGUUCGUGCCAGCAGCCGCGGUAAGACGAACCGUGCGAACGUUAUUCGGAAUCAUUGGGCUUAAAGCGCGUGUAGGCGGAUUCGUGCGUCUGUCGCUGAAAUCCCCCGGCUCAACCGGGGAAGUGGCGUGGAUACGACGAGUCUGGAGGGGCAUAGGGGGACCUGGAACUUCCGGUGGAGCGGUGAAAUGCGUUGAGAUCGGAAGGAACGCCCGUGGCGAAAGCGAGGUCCUGGAUGCCUACUGACGCUGAGACGCGAAAGCCAGGGGAGCGAACG
rnacentral:rRNA from 1 species